UUCUUCUCCUCUUCUUCCCUUCUCCUCCCCGACGCCCCACACAUCAACUCCUCUGUUUCCUCCUACACGAAAUAGAGGUGCUGCAGCCCUAGCUGCUGCAGCUAUCUCUCUUUCCUCUCCCUCUUCCCUCUCUUCUUCUUCUUCUUCUUUUCUUCUCUUCUCCCUCUUCUUCCUCUCUUCUUCCUCCUCUCUUCUUUUCCCUCUUCUUCUUCUUUUCUUCUCUUCUCCCUCAACUACUCUUCUCUUCGUCUCCCCACGCCCCACCGCUCUUGCUCUCUGUUUACAGAGAGCGUCGGAGGCGGUGGGAUAAAACCGAAAUUUUUGGUUUUCUUUAUUUUUUUCUUUUU
rnacentral:lncRNA from 1 species